UACGAAGGGGGCUAGCGUUGCUCGGAAUCACUGGGCGUAAAGGGUGCGUAGGCGGGUCUUUAAGUCAGGGGUGAAAUCCUGGAGCUCAUCUCCAGAACUGCCUUUGAUACUGAGGAUCUUGAGUUCGGGAGAGGUGAGUGGAACUGCGAGUGUAGAGGUGAAAUUCGUAGAUAUUCGCAAGAACACCAGUGGCGAAGGCGGCUCACUGGCCCGGUACUGACGCUGAGGCACGAAAGCGUGGGGAGCAAACAGG
rnacentral:rRNA from 1 species